AGCCCGGCCAACACGGUGAAACCCCGUGUCUACUAAUAAUAUAAAAAAAUUGCUGGGCAAUUUUACAGUGCCUGUAAUCCCAGAACUUUGGGAGGCCGAGGCGGGCGAAUCACAAGGUCAGGAGAUUGACACCAUCCUGGCUAAUACAGUGAAACUUCAUCUCUACUAAAAAUACAAAAAAAUUAGCCGGGCGUGGUGGCGGGCGCCUGUAGUCCCAGCCAUUCGGGAGGCUGAGGCAGGAGAUAGCGUGAACCGGGGAGGCGGAGCUUGCAGUGAGCCGAGAUGGCGCCACUGCACUCCAGCCUAGGCACACAGAAAGACUCCCUCUUAAAAAAAAAAAAAAAAAAUUAGCUGGGCGUGGUGGUGCAUGCUUGUAAUCUCAACUACUCGGGAGGCUGAGGGAGGACAAUCACUUGAACCCGGGAGGCAGAGGCUGCAGUGAGCCGAGAUAGUGCCAUUGCACUCCAGCCUGAGUGACAAGAGCGAAACUCCGUCUCAAAAAAAAAAAAGAGAGAGAGAGGGGGCUCUGAUAUGGAGUCCCCAUCGCUUCUCCUAAAAUUUCUUAUAAAAACAUUCCAGGCCAGGCACUUUGGGAGGCCUAGGCGGGCGGAUCACGAGGUCAGGAUAUCAAGACCAUCCUGGCUAACACAGCGAAACCCCGUCUCUACUGAAAAUACAAAAAAAAUUAGCCAGGCGUAGUGUCUGGCUUGCGCCUGUAGUCCUAGCUACUCGGGAGGCUGAGGCAAGAGAAUGGCGUGAACCCGGGAGGUGGAGCUUGCAGUGAGCCGAGAUGGCGCCACUGCACUGCACUCCAGCCUGAGCGACAGAGGGAAAUUCCUUCUCAAAAAAAAAAAAAAAAAAAAAUUCCAGGCCAGGCGUGGUGGCUCACCUCUGUAAUCCUAGCAACAUGGUGAAACCCCGUCUCUACUAAGAAUACAAAACAAUUAGCCUGGCGUGGUGGUGGGAGCCUAUAAUCCCAGCUACUCAGGAGGCUGAGGCAGGAGAAUCACUUGAAUCCAGGAGGUGGAGGUUGCAGUGAGCCAAGAUCGCACCACUGCACUCCAGCCUCAGCGAUAGAGACUGUUUCAAAAUAAAACAAAAAAACCCAUUCCAAUUUAUAACAGUUUAGAACACGUCCAACUUUGUUUAUUUAUCUUCCUAGGUUUAUCCUCACAUUUGGCUUCCAAUAACCUUUAUCAAAUUAUUUCUGCCUCAGCAACCUUAAUUUUGGUUGGCAAAAUGACAUAGGUGGCAGGAUUUCAGAGUGACCUCCCUAGACCAAAAGCAGCUUCCAGCCUUUGUGCAUGUACGGGCAACAAAUCCACUGUGUUCCCGAACUUGGAUGCCCUGCUGGGCUACAGGUGAGUUUCUACCAAAAUCAGGCUGGGCACAGUGGCUCAUGCUUGUAAUUCCAGCACUUUGGGAGGCUGAGGCAGUCAGCUCACUUGACCCCAGCAGUUCAAGACCAGCCUGGGCAACAUAGUGAAACUCCGUCUCUACAAAACGUACAAAAAUUAGCUGAGUGGGGCCAGGCACAGUGGCUCACGUCUGUAAUCCCAACACUUUGGGAGGCUGAGGCGGGCGGAUCAUGAG
rnacentral:lncRNA from 1 species